rnacentral:rRNA from 1 species
AGCGAACGUUUGCGGCGGGCCUAACACAUGCAAGUCGAACGCACUAGCAAUAGUGAGUGGCGCACGGGUGCGUAACACGUGGGUAAUCAACCCUUCAGCUUGGGAUAACGACUUGAAAGGGUCGCUAAUACCGAAUGCGGCGCGAGAGGCUUCGGCUUCUCACGAGAAAGCCUCGCAAGGGGCACUGAAGGACGAGCCUGCGGCCCAUCAGCUAGUUGGUGAGGUAAGAGCUCACCAAGGCGAAGACGGGUAGCUGGUCUGAGAGGAUGAUCAGCCACACUGGAACUGAGACACGGUCCAGACUCCUACGGGAGGCAGCAGUGGGGAAUAUUGCGCAAUGGGCGAAAGCCUGACGCAGCCACGCCGCGUGAGCGAUGAAGGCCU